rnacentral:rRNA from 1 species
AUUGAACGCUGGCGGCAUGCUUUACACAUGCAAGUCGAACGGUAACAGGCCUUCGGGUGCUGACGAGUGGCGAACGGGUGAGUAAUGCAUCGGAACGUACCCAGAGGUGGGGGAUAACGCAGCGAAAGCUGUGCUAAUACCGCAGGUGAUCUGAGGAUGAAAGCGGGGGACCGAGCAGCAAUGUUUGGCCUCGCGCCUUUGGAGCGGCCGAUGUCGGAUUAGCUAGUUGGUGGGGUAAAGGCCUACCAAGGCGACGAUCCGUAGCUGGUCUGAGAGGACGACCAGCCACACUGGGACUGAAACACGGCCCAGACUCCUACGGGAGGCAGCAGUGGGGAAUUUUGGACAAUGGGCGCAAGCCUGAUCCAGCAAUGCCGCGUGCGGGAAGAAGGCCUUCGGGUUGUAAACCGCUUUUGGCAGGAACGAAACGGUGUCCGCUAAUACCGGGCGCUAAUGACGGUACCUGCAGAAUAAGCACCGGCUAACUACGUG